CCCACCCAUUCUUCCCCCAGGCUUACAUUUGCUCCAUCAGGACAUCCUCCUCCUCCUCCUGGGGCAGCUGCAAAUAUGGAUUGUCCCCAGCAGGUUGGAACUUAUAGCCCGUGAGCACAAAGAAGGCUCACCUGGUACAGCCAUUGCCACUGGAAGGGCACUGCCACCCGGAGCAAGAUGGCGAUGAUGCGGGUGAAGUAGACGUAACAGAUGACCUGCGGGGGCAAGAUGCCUCCUGGAGAUGCCGGAUGGACCUGGGAUGAGGGGUACACAGGGCAUGGUCAGCACUGGCUCCACCCAUGGGUACAGAGGGUAGAAUCUCAGCUAGGUCCUCACCAGACUACAGGGAAGAGGAUUGCACCGCAGCAAAUGAGGUCCACCAGGAAGAGGAUCUCCUUCCAGAGCCCGUAGUCGCUGGCACCCUCUUCACGGGACUCAAUGACAAUGUAGGCUAUGUUGGCCAGGACCUGUGUGGCCAGAGCAGGGACAUACUUGACAAAGGCCCAGCCUGAGCCAAUCAAAGCGAUGGUGAUGAAGAGGAGAGCACCCUUUAGCCUGGUGGAGCAGAGGGAUGGUGUGAUAAUGAAGUCAGGUGGGCUCAGCCUUCACUUGCCCACUUCUCUGCACUUGCUGGGCAGAUAAGGGACACUCACAGAGGACUGACACCCAGAAGAUGCCAGCAGCUAGGAAGCAGGCGGACAUGACCAUGUAGAGCUUGAAAAGGGGAAUCUCUGUGGCUGACAGGAAGCCCCCAGGGUUCUUCUCCCGGAUCAUCACCUGUUGGCUCAUCUCUCAACACCUUCUGCUACCUCCCACUGCCACUGAAGGGCUGUCCAGAGCUCAACUCCUGGCCUAUGGUAACAUGAGGAAACUGAAGCUCAGAAAAACCAAUGGACUUGCCCAAGAUCACACGAGUAAAAAAGAAGAGCUAGGAAGGGAACCCAGAACUGGAAGUGUGAAGAACUCCUGACCCCGCCUCGCCCCCGGGGGUGAGUACCACCAUAGAGCAGUUAUUCACUUUGGUGUGCCUGGCCUUCCCCUCAGGGAUGUGAAGGUGUAUGUGUGUGUGAAGGUUAUGCACUCUGUCCUCUUCCGGCAAUCUCCUCAAACCCCCUCACCAGCAAGGACUUCUCUUCUGCCUCCUGGAGGCCCAGACGCAGCAGGCUGAGCUCCACCUCCAGGGAGCCAUUCGUGUAGAAGCCGAAGCUGUUCAGCUGGAUGUCUGCUCGCUUCUCCCCCUACCGGCAGACCAAGGAGGUAGAAGCGCCUCAGACUUCUCAUCACCAGACCAGCCCUAGGACUCUGGCAUGAGACACCCUCUCCCACGCCCACCAAGGGCCUCCUGGGACCCCUUUAUUUAGAACAGGCACACAGAAUGACAAGAGAGCGUGAGGAUGCUUGGUUCCCUGAAGUUUUCUGGCCGCUGUUCAGAGAGGGUCCAGGAAGGGAAAUCUCGUGACACCUGACCCCGCCUCGCCCCCGGAAGUGAGUACCACCAUAGAGCAGUUAUUCACUUUGGUGUGCCUGGCCUUCCCCUCUGGGAUUUUUUUAGGUUGCAAAUGAGCUCCCCUAUAGUGCUGAGCUUUCAACUGAGCCCCUAAAAUCCCAAUGAGCUCCCAGAGGAACCCACUCCAGAACCCCCAGGAUUCCCCAGCUCCCCACGAAAGGCGUUAAGAGUCCCGGGAGCCCCCAAAAUGACUGCAUAAAUUUAAAGGGAUAAGACUCCAGGGGUCCUAAGAAAUGGAGCUCCGCCUCCGAUGGGCGGGGCGCGACCCCCGCGUGGCCCGCCCGGCAACUCCACCCAAGGACUGCGGGGGAUCCUGGGACGAGACCACUUCGGCACCAGCCGGUGGAUGCGCCCGGAGCAGCCGCCAAACAACAGUAGCAGAAGUAGCCGCUGCCCCCA